rnacentral:rRNA from 1 species
UCAGGAUGAACGCUGGCGGCGUGCUUAACACAUGCAAGUCGAACGAUGAUCCGGUGCUUGCACCGGGGAUUAGUGGCGAACGGGUGAGUAACACGUGAGUAACCUGCCCUUAACUCUGGGAUAAGCCUGGGAAACUGGGUCUAAUACCGGAUAUGACUGAUCAUCGCAUGGUGGUUGGUGGAAAGCUUUUUGUGGUUUUGGAUGGACUCGCGGCCUAUCAGCUUGUUGGUGAGGUAAUGGCUUACCAAGGCGACGACGGGUAGCCGGCCUGAGAGGGUGACCGGCCACACUGGGACUGAGACACGGCCCAGACUCCUACGGGAGGCAGCAGUGGGGAAUAUUGCACAAUGGGCGAAAGCCUGAUGCAGCGACGCCGCGUGAGGGAUGACGGCCUUCGGGUUGUAAACCUCUUUCAGUAGGGAAGAAGCGAAAGUGACGGUA